CCUGUGUGACAGACCCACGUUCCGCUCGCCUGCCUAAACGCCCCCGAUCUCUUCUUUCCGCUAACGUGUGAACGCCGUGACGCUUGCUCGUCGCACGGUAGCACGCCGCUGACGACGGGAGUAUCACGAUGACGGCGAUUGUGCACCUGUGAUGCUCGCUAUUGUCGCCAAAGCUGCGCGGCGACGUGAAAUUUUUGGCCACCUCGAGAGAGACGCACGACAUAACAGACGCGCUCAACUUAACGUGCGCAUGCGUAUCCCGCACUAUGUUUAGUGAGCUGCCGCGAGAGGGGAUUUCUCAACCUUGGCAAAGGUUUUCCGUCUCGUUUCGUCCCAUAUUCGGUGUCUCGCUCCGACAUGUGUUGUAAUCGAUGCGUGGGUCAGCCGACCAGCGUCUUGUUUGCGGUCGAGGACUACAGCUCGUUUCAUCGUGCAGCUGCUUUUUCUACACGCUGAUUGAGAAUUAAGGAACUUUCGACAGAAGUGUGUCGUUGGUAGAAUAUAAUGCCGCCGCAAAACUCUGGUUUUGCGGUGACCCACGUUCACAACGCGUGGCAACUGUAUCAACAAGAUCGAAAAUCGAUUAUGCGAUUAUGGGCUAUUCCAAAAUUAAGAGUGUAGUGUUCAUCAUCACUAUCAUCAUCGUCACUCGUGCUGGACAUUAUUGAUGCCUGUUGCCACAUUCGUGGUAGAAAUAAUUCUAAAAGCUGAUAUGCAUGUUAAGUAACGCAAUGGAGAAUUACGCAAGUGUUCUCAAACAUUGCAUAAGUUGUUACAUUAUUAACUUAUACCUAAGCUGUUACAUCAUUAAUGUGACGUCAUCGAUACAGUAAUGAGUAAAUCGCUUGCCACGAAACUGAGCGUUUAAAUAUCUCGAAAUGAGAUGCAUACUAUAUGAACGAACACUUAGAACGAAUUCGUUACAUAAAAUUCAUGAAAUAUGUAACAGCAUUUAUAUAUUUAUAAAGUUUUUUUAUAAAGUUACACAUAGAUAAUUGCGA